GGGAAAUGACUUCGCUCCGGCUUUAAUGCUGAGGAAAGUCCGCCCACUCAAAAAGGCCACCUGCAAAGGAUUCAGUAAUGGAUGGCAACAUCUCAGAAACGGAACGCCUUAAAGAACGCUAUGAGGCUUGCGAAGGUUUUGGCAACAAAACUCAGAUAACCAGCCGAGUUUGUCUUUAAGAAACGAUGAAACGGAUAGCCCUGGCUUGUGCAAGUCUUUAACGACGCUCAGUUUAAUGCGAAGACAGACUUUCCGCAAGGAGUCUGACCAAAGGCGGCUUAUUAUUUCCC
rnacentral:RNase_P_RNA from 1 species